rnacentral:rRNA from 1 species
UGGCGGCGUGCSUAACACAUGCAAGUCGAACGGAGAAUUAUCUAAGUUUACUUAGAUAAUUUUUAGUGGCGGACGGGUGAGUAACGCGUGGGUAACCUGCCCUUUAAACCGGGACAACCCUUGGAAACGAGGGCUAAUACCGGAUAGAGUUAAGCCUUGGCAUCAAGGUUUAAGGAAAGAUGGCCUCUGAAAAUGCUAUCGAUAAAGGAUGGACCCGCGUCUGAUUAGCUAGUUGGUGGGGUAAAGGCCUACCAAGGCGACGAUCAGUAGCCGGCCUGAGAGGGUGAACGGCCACACUGGGACUGAGACACGGCCCAGACUCCUACGGGAGGCAGCAGUGGGGAAUCUUCCGCAAUGGACGGAAGUCUGACGGAGCAACGCCGCGUGUAUGAUGAAGGUCUUCGGAUUGUAAAGUACUGUCUUUAGGGAAGAACGGUUUUCUUGAAAACAUUGAGAAGACAUGACGGUACCUAAGGAGGAAGCCCCGGCUAACUACGUGCCAGCAGCCGCGGUAAUACGUAGGGGGCAAGCGUUGUCCGGAAUUAUUGGGCGUAAAGGGCGCGUAGGCGGGUAUUUAAGUCCCGUGUGAAAGAUCAGGGCUCAACCCUGAUAGUGCAUCGAAACUGGGUAUCUU